GGGGUUAAAAAUCAUUUGAUGUGGAGCUUAUUUUUCAUGGACACUGUCAAAUUCAGAACCCAUUACCGGUAUGGCUGAUUUGCAGCAACAACAAAACGAUUCGUACGGGUUAUGUUAAAGGUUAAAGAGAUUUGUAAAGCAAACGUUGACAAAUGAAAAGGUUUUUAAUGACUUUAUCUGGCAAAUUGAUGCUGUGCAACAUGAAUCUUUCGAGUCUGAAUAGAAACCGGAAACGCGGAUGUAUCAAUUUGAUUGUAGUAUACGAAAUGAAUUCGGCAUUACGAUACGAUAUUUUUUUUACAGGAAAUAUUUAAGUUUUUACUUUUAAACUUUUAAAGUAAUUCUAAAUUAUCGUUACAGCAGUACUCGAGUUAUUUGCGAUGAAAUAAUAUUUACUGUUUUGCGUCUUGUACUUCUUAAGAAAAGGGGGAUGCUGAUUGCGUAAGUCAAAAUAAAGCACGUGUUCGACUUGUUAAACUGUUUUCUUUGUAACUGGAUUAUUAAUUUAUUUAUUUAACCUAAAUUAUCAUAAUCAUUUGCUGAAACUUAGUUGAUUAAUUCGACAAAUGAAUCGUCUAUCCUCAGAUAGUAUUCUCCUGUCUGGUUUGUUGAUCUACCUGUAUACAAGCUCAGGUACAAGUGAUUAGCGAUCUUAAUCCGGAUAUCCCUCAGGCGUUAGAACUGUAUUGACAUAAAAAGCCCAAGGGUUAUGCAAUAACAUGCAUUUGAUUAUAAUUGAUAAAAAAA
rnacentral:lncRNA from 1 species